CCCACUGUCCCAUCACUUGCAAUGCAGCAAAUGUCCGCCUGCAGUCUCCCUUCAAAGCUCCUUCUCUCAGGUCUGGCCAUGGCCUUGUCCAUUGUUCACUGCCAGGAUUUCACGUUCAUUUCUCCGAUGUAAAUAGGGACGUCCUGCGGUUCUCUUCAUGACUUUGAAGGCUGGACUUGGGGAAAACCUCACCGGCUCCAGACAUCCCUGUAAGGCAAAGGCAACCAGUGAUCACAUGGAAUCAAGGAACACACAGAGACCUGUUCACUCCAGACCAGAUUCUCCUCUGAAGCUUUAGGAGAAUGCUAGUACCAGCAUUUCAAGAAGGAAAUUUGCCAGAAUGCAUACUCCCAACCAUUUUCACAAUCACUAUAAAGAAUAUUUUCAUGGAAA